rnacentral:rRNA from 1 species
GAUGAACGCUAGCGGCAGGCCUAAUACAUGCAAGUCGGACGGGAUUCAGGAGCUUGCUUCUGAUGAGAGUGGCGCACGGGUGCGUAACACGUAUGUAACCUACCUUUAUCAGGGGGAUAGCCUCUCGAAAGAGAGAUUAAGCCCGCAUAAAAUCACAGCACAGCAUUGUGUAAUGAUCAAAUAUUUAUAGGAUAAAGAUGGGCAUGCGGAACAUUAGCUAGAUGGCGGGGUAACGGCCCACCAUGGCGACGAUGUUUAGGGGAUCUGAGAGGAUGGCCCCCCACACUGGUACUGAGACACGGACCAGACUCCUACGGGAGGCAGCAGUAAGGAAGAUUGGUCAAUGGGCGGAAGCCUGAACCAGCCAUGCCGCGUGCAGGAAGACGGCCCUACGGGUUGUAAACUGCUUUUAUACGGGAAUAAACCCAGAUACGUGUAUCUGGCUGAAUGUACUGUAAGAAUAAGAAUCGGCUAACUCCGUG